GGACCUUUAGCUCAAUAGGUUAGGGCAGCUGCCUCAUAAGCAGCCGGGUCUGGGUUCGAGUCCCAGAGGGUCCA
rnacentral:tRNA from 2 species